rnacentral:misc_RNA from 1 species
AUGAAAUGUAAAAUGAAAUGGAGAUUUUGCUUUUCCUUUUUAUCUUUUUGUCUUCUAAAUUUUUUCCUCUUUUUUUGACUUUAUCAAGAAUGAAAUUUCAAAGGUCACUAAUCCAAUAAACAGCCCAUUUCCACCUAUUCACAGAUUCCAGCUCGAACUUAACACCACUCCUUCAGUCACCUGCCUCCAACAAUCUGAUAAUAACUACUUCAAAAAUCUAAUCCAAAAACAUUUACCCAAUGCCUCUUCUGCCCAACUCUAGAGAAAUAACAAUAAGAUAAAAGCAAGAUCGGCAACACUCCGUUUUCAUGAUUACGUGACGUUUACA